GGCACGGGGGCGCAGUGGUUAGCGCUGCUGCCUCACAGCGAGCAGAUUGUGGGUUUGAAUCCAGCCUGGGGCC